CUUCCCUCCUUAGCAACUUACCAGACAAGAGAGUGAGUUCAUGUUUCUCCUUUUAUAGUCUUCCCAGCUAUCUCAAUCUGACUGUCUGAACAGAUAUCUGUGGUUAGUAGUGGCAAGUUUCCUUCUCUGAUCCUCAAGCAUCAUUGUUUGUGCAAGCAAGCUCUCAGCACACAGUUCUGUUUACUCCCCAGUGAAGGAACCUGAGACAUAGUGAUGUUGGGUACUUUGCUCUAUUAGAGAGUGCAUGACUGAUUGGAACACUGUUUUAAUUACUUUGACUCAGAUACCAUGACAAUUGUGGUAACAGCCUGGGUCAUAUGAAGUCUCAGAGCUCAACUGCAGAAUUGUAAUUGACCGUCCUUUCUCUCCGCAGAUCUCCAGGUUCUGCUGGUUAUGUUCUGUGACAAAGGUCUUUUCACCAUAUGUGCAUCCUGUGACAUCUAGGACAAUAGCAGGGAAUCCAGGACAAGCUUCAAUAAGAUCUUCCUAGGAGACCACACUGAAUACUACCUCAGAAAAGUCACAUGGGAUGAAAAUGGAGAUUGACCCAUCCUCAUUACAUCAAGAAUCUCCCAAAGAAAAACCUGUCAUCUAAAAAGCAACAGGUCUAUGGAUGGUGAAUGAAUCUUCUGCAAGUCUUCUCAGGGGUGUACUAUCAGUCUUUUCUUGUAGGUUCCUGGCCAUAAGGAGAAUCAUAGACCCCCAACUCCUGAACUGCAGAUGUGUACACUGAGCAUUAGUGACAGUGAAGAAGGAGUAUGCCUCUCAGCUCUGAUCUUCUGGAAGAUUACCAUGUCAAUGCUGACGACAAGAGGAGCUCAGACAUUUAACAGGGCACUAUGAAGACACGCUGUGGAUUAUGAUUCAGUGGUCACACUUCCACCUUCCAAGUGCAGACAAUGACUGAAAUCACCAACAACAUCUGUGGAAUCUACAGGAGGUUCCACUAUUGAAAACCUCCCAGUGGGCAGAUAUUGUUGAAUCUCUACCCCUGCCCAACUUAGACUGCUUUGCAUUCCCAUAGUGUAGAAAGUUAGCUCUGACUCUCUGUCUGCAGGAUAACCCAGAAAACAUGCCUGAUGCAGAAAGAAAGUAUCUCAGAAAACCUUGAGAAAUGAAUGUACUCCUCUUUCUGAACUCCAGACUGGAUCUUGAGAAGGGCAGAGUCCAUGGUGCCCUGUCCCAGACAAUCACUAAGUUGAAAAAGGAGAACUUGAAGACAUACAGUUGAACUAUCAUCACUAGUAUUAGAUAAAUGUAAAAACCCAUAUUGAAAACUCAAUCAGAUUUCCUAUAUAAUCUCUAUAAAUUGACUUUAAGACACUU